rnacentral:rRNA from 1 species
AAAUCCUGUUGAUCCUGCAGGAGGUUGCUGCUAUGGGGAUACGAAUAAGCCAUGCAAGUCAGGUAUUCGCAAGAAUGCCGGCGUAAGGCUCAGUAACACGUUGAUAAUCUACCCUUAGGUCGAGGAUAACGAUGGGAAACUGUCCCUAAAACUCGAUAGAAGAUUGAUACUGGAACGUACUUUCUUUUAAACGCAAGGCCUAAGGAUGAG